GAUUCCCCCAGUAGCGGCGAGCGAACGGGGAGCAGCCCAGAGCCUGAAUCAGUAUGUGUGUUAGUGGAAGCGUCUGGAAAGGCGCGCGAUACAGGGUGACAGCCCCGUACACAAAAAUGCACAUGCUGUGAGCUCGAUGAGUAGGGCGGGACACGUGGUAUCCUGUCUGAAUAUGGGGGGACCAUCCUCCAAGGCUAAAUACUCCUGACUGACCGAUAGUGAACCAGUACCGUGAGGGAAAGGCGAAAAGAACCCCGGCGAGGGGAGUGAAAAAGAACCUGAAACCGUGUACGUACAAGCAGUGGGAGCACGCUUAGGCGUGUGACUGCGUACCUUUUGUAUAAUGGGUCAGCGACUUAUAUUCUGUAGCAAGGUUAACCGAAUAGGGGAGCCGAAGGGAAACCGAGUCUUAACUGGGCGUUAAGUUGCAGGGUAUAGACCCGAAACCCGGUGAUCUAGCCAUGGGCAGGUUGAAGGUUGGGUAACACUAACUGGAGGACCGAACCGACUAAUGUUGAAAAAUUAGCGGAUGACUUGUGGCUGGGGGUGAAAGGCCAAUCAAACCGGGAGAUAGCUGGUUCUCCCCGAAAGCUAUUUAGGUAGCGCCUCGUGAAUUCAUCUCCGGGGGUAGAGCACUGUUUCGGCAAGGGGGUCAUCCCGACUUACCAACCCGAUGCAAACUGCGAAUACCGGAGAAUGUUAUCACGGGAGACACACGGCGGGUGCUAACGUCCGUCGUGAAGAGGGAAACAACCCAGACCGCCAGCUAAGGUCCCAAAGUCAUGGUUAAGUGGGAAACGAUGUGGGAAGGCCCAGACAGCCAGGAUGUUGGCUUAGAAGCAGCCAUCAUUUAAAGAAAGCGUAAUAGCUCACUGGUCGAGUCGGCCUGCGCGGAAGAUGUAACGGGGCUAAACCAUGCAC
rnacentral:rRNA from 1 species